rnacentral:lncRNA from 1 species
GGCGGGGGAUCCCUGAAGUUCACCAAGAUCGAACGCCUUGGCUGCCCGGAACUUCCCAGAACACGGGGUGGCCUGAACCGCCAAGGGAGGCUGCUUUCACGACGUUUUCACGACACCCAGCCGCUCUGCUCACCGGCGCCCCCGGGCGGCAGCAGCGAGCACGAGCAGCUAAGGCCCGCAGGUAUAGAAACCCAUGGACAGGGGAAACCUGCUUAUUCUAAGACGUCUGAGCAAGAAACAAAUCAGUUCACUGUUCUACCUACCAUUUUGUUAUAGCACUGAGCUUGAACCCAGGGCCUUGAAUCCAGGUCGGGCAAGAACCAAACCAGUGAAAGACCACCACGUGGU